AUCCUUUUGCUUCGAGUGGCUGAAGUGAAACUAGAAAAAAAAAAAUCUGUUCUUAUCAGUUUAAUAUCUGAUACGUCCCCUAUCUGGGGACCAUAUAUUAAAUGGAUUUUUGGAACAGGGAGAUGAAAGAAGAGCUUGCUCUGUCCACUCCAUGCAUCGACCUGGUAUUGCAGUACCUCCAGGACCGGUGGACUUCUC
rnacentral:snRNA from 1 species